rnacentral:rRNA from 1 species
UACGAAGGGGGCUAGCGUUGCUCGGAAUCACUGGGCGUAAAGCGCACGUAGGCGGGUCGUUAAGUCAGGGUGAAAUCCUGGAGCUCAACUCCAGAACUGCCCUUGAUACUGGCGAUCUCGAGUUCGGGAGAGGUGAGUGGAACUGCGAGUGUAGAGGUGAAAUUCGUAGAUAUUCGCAAGAACACCAGUGGCGAAGGCGGCUCACUGGCCCGAUACUGACGCUGAGGUGCGAAAGCGUGGGGAG